AUGGAAAUAUAAAUGAAAAAAUAGCAGAAAAUGGAAAUAUAAAUGAAAAAAAAAAAGUAAACGACAAUGUCGCUACGAGUGAUGCAAAUGAUGUGGGUGUUGCAAAUGGUCCGAAUGGUCCGAAUGGUCCGAAUGGUCCGAAUGAUGCGAGUGAUGCGAAUGGCCCGAAUGGCCCGAAUGACAAUAAAAAUAAUAAACGAAAACGAAUGGCACAUGAUACAAUCAAAGAGAUGUUCAUACGAGACGUCAAUAACCCAGAGAGACCAUGGAAUAGUCAAUACACAACUGAAAAAAUGACAAGUACAAAAAUCAUUAAAAAGCAUUACCCCUGUAACAAUUUGAGUAAUGGUCAGGUAAGCAUAGGCUGGAGAGGAUGUAGAUGGAAUGAUUUUAAAACAAAAACAGCUUUAAUAAUGUUAGGCAUUUAUUUAACUGAUUCUACUACAUCACCUAUAAGUAAGAAGUUAAUGGAUGACCCAUAUAACACAUAUUGUAGUAGUGUUGAAUUCACAUUAGACGAUUUAAAAGAAAAUUAUUUUUCUAUUGAUAUUUACGAUGUUAUUUUUAAAGAAGAGUCUAAUCAUAGAAAUCAUAAGAAUGUGGAUGAUAGUCAGAAGAAUGAACAUGUUGAACAUAUUGGAUCUUGUAUACCCAAUGUCGUAAAAAAUGGAUUCUCAAUAGAUAGUAAUAAUACCAACAAUAGUGAGAUAGUUAACAUAUCUACAUAUGACAAUAACAAAUUAGAUAAAACAAUACUCCCUUGUAAUAACAACAAUGAGAUAUCUACUGACAAAACAAAAAUGGAUUUAGUAGGACAAUUAACCAGAGAUUGUAUAAAAGAAGUACAUCAAAAUGCACUGAACAUGAAUCAAUUAAAAAAUAUAAUUUUCAGAUCCUACUUACAAUACCUUGAAAAUUUAGAAACAACACCACAAGAGGUACUAAACAAAUAUUUAAUAACAUAUUUUAUAUAUGGUAAAAAUAUAACUGAUUUUAAUGAAUGUUUGGAUCAAAAACAUACAUAUCAAAGCUUGUUAAAUGAAAAUGAACAAUAUUGGAAAAAUUUAUUAGAAUCUUAUUUUUUAAAGAAUCCAUUUGUUGAGGUAAGAUGCUACCCAAGUAUUAGAAGAUCAAAACAACUUGAAAAUUUUGAAAAAUGGUUAAUGCAAAAAGAAAAAAUAUAUUAUGGUGAAGAGAAAAUAAGAAGAAUGGUUCAGUAUAUUGAAAAUAUAAAAAAUGGUUCAUAUGAUAUAGCUUAUGACUAUUUACAAUCGAAUAUACCACCCGCAGAUCCAAAAAAUGUAAUACUAGAUAAAAUAAUGAUUGUAAGAAAUUUUGGCACUGCAUCUGUCGGUGA
rnacentral:lncRNA from 1 species